UCGCGGCGGUGCGCGCAGAAGGGUCUGGGCUCGAGCCUGCCUGGAGCCGCCGCCGGUGCAGAUCUUGGUGGUAGUAGCAAAUACUCCAGCGAGGCCCUGGAGGACUGAUGUGGAGAAGGGUUUCGUGUGAACAGCCGUUGCACACGAGUCAGUCGACCCUAAGCCCUAGGAGAAAUCCGAUAUAAACGGCGAUGGGAAACAUGUGUUCGAAUGAGACGAGAGCCCAUUGAUCGGGCGAAAGGGAAUCCGGUUCCUAUUCCGGAACCCGGCAGCGGAACCGUUGUUUGUCGGGCCCUCACAAGGGGUUCGUCAGGGCAACCUAAAAGGGCCCGGAGACGCCGUCGGGGGCCCCGGAAAGAGUUUUCUUUUCUGCAUGAGCGUUCGAGUUCCCUGGAAUCCUCUCGCAGGGAGAUAGGGUUUGGAACGCGAAGAGCACCGCAGUUGCGGCGGUGCCCGGGAAUUCCCGACGGACCUUGAAAAUCCGGGAGAGGGCCACGUGGAGGUGUCGCGCCGGCUCGUACCCAUAUCCGCAGCAGGUCUCCAAGGUGAAGAGCCUCUAGUC
rnacentral:rRNA from 1 species